UACAGGGGGUGCAAACGUUGCUCGGAAUUAUUGGGCGUAAAGCGCGCGUAGGCGGUCUUGUAAGUCGGAUGUGAAAGCCCUUGGCUUAACCGAGGAAGUGCAUCCGAAACUGCAAGGCUUGAGUACGAAAGAGGAUCGCGGAAUUCCCGGUGUAGAGGUGAAAUUCGUAGAUAUCGGGAGGAACACCGGCGGCGAAGGCGGCGAUCUGGGUCGAGACUGACGCUCAUGCACGAAAGCGUGGGGAGCAAACAGG
rnacentral:rRNA from 1 species